rnacentral:rRNA from 1 species
UACGGAGGGUGCGAGCGUUAAUCGGAAUUACUGGGCGUAAAGCGCGCGUAGGCGGUCUGAUCAGCCGGUUGUGAAAGCCCCGGGCUCAACCUGGGAACGGCAUCCGGAACUGUCAGGCUAGAGUGCAGGAGAGGAAGGUAGAAUUCCCGGUGUAGCGGUGAAAUGCGUAGAGAUCGGGAGGAAUACCAGUGGCGAAGGCGGCCUUCUGGACUGACACUGACGCUGAGGUGCGAAAGCGUGGGUAGCAAACAGGAUUAGAUACCCCGGUAGU